rnacentral:rRNA from 1 species
AACGUAGGACGCAAGCGUGAUCCGGAGUUACUGGGCGUAAAGCGCGGGCAGGCGGUCUUGCCAGUCUGAUGUGAAAUCUCCUCGCUCAACGGGGAGCAGCCAUUGGAAACUACAAGACUGGAGUCUGGCAGAGGUAGGCGGAAUUCCGGGUGGAGUGGUGAAAUGCGUAGAGAUCCGGAGGAACACCAGAGGCGAAGGCGGCCUACUGGGCCAGUACUGACGCUGAGCCGCGAAAGCCAGGGGAGCGAACGGG